AUUGAACGCUGGCGGCAGGCCUAACACAUGCAAGUCGAAUGGUAACAGGAAACAGCUUGCUGUUUCGCUGACGAGUGGCGGACGGGUGAGUAAUGUCUGGGAAACUGCCUGAUGGAGGGGGAUAACUACUGGAAACGGUAGCUAAUACCGCAUAACGUCGCAAGACCAAGAGGGGGACCUUCGGGCCUCUUGCCAUCAGAUGUGCCCAGAUGGGAUUAGCUAGUAGGUGGGGUAACGGCUCACCUAGGCGACGAUCCCUAGCUGGUCUGAGAGGAUGACCAGCCACACUGGAACUGAGACACGGUCCAGACUCCUACGGGAGGCAGCAGUGGGGAAUAUUGCACAAUGGGCGCAAGCCUGAUGCAGCCAUGCCGCGUGUAUGAAGAAGGCCUUCGGGUUGUAAAGUACUUUCAGCGGGGAGGAAGGGAGUAAAGUUAAUACCUUUGCUCAUUGACGUUACCCGCAGAAGAAGCACCGGCUAACUCCGUG
rnacentral:rRNA from 1 species